rnacentral:rRNA from 1 species
UACGAAGGGGGCUAGCGUUGUUCGGAAUUACUGGGCGUAAAGCGCACGUAGGCGGGUCGUUAAGUCAGGGGUGAAAUCCCAGAGCUCAACUCUGGAACUGCCUUUGAUACUGGCGACCUCGAGGCCGGAAGAGGUUAGUGGAAUUCCCAGUGUAGAGGUGAAGUUCGUAGAUAUUGGGAAGAACACCAGUGGCGAAGGCGGCUAACUGGUCCGGUACUGACGCUGAGGUGCGAAAGCGUGGGGAGCGAACAGG